UUCCCUUUUGAAGGACUUAAAGGAGAAGAAGGAAGUUGUGGAGGAGGCAGAAAAUGGAAGAGACGCCCCUGCUAAUGGGAAUGCUAAUGAGGAAAAUGGGGAGCAGGAGGCUGACAAUGAGGUAGAUGAAGAAGAGGAAGAAGGUGGAGAGGAGGAGGAGGAGGAGGAAGAAGGUGAUGGUGAGGAGGAGGAUGGAGAUGAAGAUGAGGAAGCUGAGGCUGCUACGGGCAAACGGGCAGCUGAAGAUGAUGAGGAUGAUGAUGUUGAUACUAAGAAGCAGAAGACCGAUGAGGAUGACUAGACAGCAAAAAAAGGAAA